GAUGAACGCUGGCGGCGUGCCUAAUACAUGCAAGUCGAGCGAACGGACGAGAAGCUUGCUUCUCUGAUGUUAGCGGCGGACGGGUGAGUAACACGUGUAUAACCUACCUAUAAGACUGGGAUAACUUCGGGAAACCGGAGCUAAUACCGGAUAAUAUUUUGAACCGCAUGGUUCAAAAGUGAAAGACGGUCUUGCUGUCACUUAUAGAUGCAUCCGCGCUGCAUUAGCUAGUUGGUAAGGUAACGGCUUACCAAGGCAACGAUGCAUAGCCGACCUGAGAGGGUGAUCGGCCACCUUGGAACUGAGACACGGUCAAGACUCCUACGGGAGGCAGCAGUAGGGAAUCUUCCGCAAUGGGCGAAAGCCUGACGGAGCAACGCCGCGUGAGUGAUGAAGGUCUUCGGAUCGUAAAACUCUGUUAUUAGGGAAGAACAGAUGUGUAAGUAACUGUGCACAGCUUGACGGUACCGAAUCAGAAAGCCACGGCUAACUACGUG
rnacentral:rRNA from 1 species